rnacentral:rRNA from 1 species
UACAGAGGGUGCAAGCGUUAAUCGGAAUUACUGGGCGUAAAGCGUGCGCAGGCGGUUUUGUAAGACAGAUGUGAAAUCCCCGGGCUUAACCUGGGAAUUGCAUUUGUGACUGCAAGGCUGGAGUGCGGCAGAGGGGGAUGGAAUUCCGCGUGUAGCAGUGAAAUGCGUAGAUAUGCGGAGGAACACCGAUGGCGAAGGCAAUCCCCUGGGCCUGCACUGACGCUCAUGCACGAAAGCGUGGGGAGCAAACAGG